UACGGGGGGGCAAGCGUUGUUCGGAAUUACUGGGCGUAAAGGGCUCGUAGGCGGCCAACUAAGUCAGACGUGAAAUCCCUCGGCUUAACCGGGGAACUGCGUCUGAUACUGGAUGGCUUGAGUUCGGGAGAGGGAUGCGGAAUUCCAGGUGUAGCGGUGAAAUGCGUAGAUAUCGGAGGAACACCGGUGGCGAAGGCGGCAUCCUGGA
rnacentral:rRNA from 1 species